GCAAAAGAAGUCGUGUGGCCCCCAUCGAGUCCCUCGCAACACCAACCCGCCUAAGGAUUACCUGCACAGGAAAGCAGAAGGGUGAGUUGAUGAAAACUCAGUGUGUAAUCCUUUAUCAACGAACUAUCGUACAGUAAGCAGAUACAGUCUGGGCCUAAGCCCGUUUCAGUAGCAGUUCAAUCUCAGUUAGGGCCUUAGCCUAAUACAGUAACAGUGUCAAUAUGGGCCUUAGCCCAUCUUAGUAACAGUAACAGAAAUGCAAUCAGAAAAUCCUACCCAUCCAUUCUCUACACUCCAUUCCGUCCAGCCCUACACUCUAUGUGGGGAUAAAAUCGAC
rnacentral:lncRNA from 1 species